rnacentral:rRNA from 1 species
AGAGUGGCGCACGGGUGAGUAACACGUAGAUAAUCUACCUUCAAGCCCGGGAUAACCCUUCGAAAGGAUGGCUAAUACCGGAUGCAGUUUCUAUGCGCAGGUGUAGAGAUGAAAGACUGCCUCUUCCUGAAAGCAGUUGUUUGGAGAUGAGUUUGCGUACCAUUAGCUUGUUGGUGGGGUAAGGGCCUACCAAGGCUGUGAUGGUUAGCUGGUCUGAGAGGAUGAUCAGUCACACUGGAACUGGAACACGGUCCAGACUCCUACGGGAGGCAGCAGUGAGGAAUUUUGCGCAAUGGGGGAAACCCUGACGCAGCAACGCCGCGUGAGUGAAGAAGGCCCUUGGGUCGUAAAGCUCUGUCAACCGGGAAGAAGUUACAUAUGGCGAACAGUUGUAUGUAUUGACGGUACCGGUGGAGGAAGCGCCGGCUAACUCCGUGCCAGCAGCCGCGGUAACACGGGGGGCGCAAGCGUUAUUCGGAAUUAUUGGGCGUAAAGGGCGC